GAUGAACGCUGGCGGCGUGCCUAAUACAUGCAAGUCGAGCGAACAGAUGAGGAGCUUGCUCCUCUGACGUUAGCGGCGGACGGGUGAGUAACACGUGGAUAACCUACCUAUAGGACUGGGAUAACUUCGGGAAACCGGAGCUAAUACCGGAUAAUAUAUUGAACCGCAUGGUUCAAUAGUGAAAGACGGUUUUGCUGUCACUUAUAGAUGGAUCCGCGCCGCAUUAGCUAGUUGGUAAGGUAACGGCUUACCAAGGCAACGAUGCGUAGCCGACCUGAGAGGGUGAUCGGCCACACUGGAACGGAGACACGGUCCAGACUCCUACGGGAGGCAGCAGUAGGGAAUCUUCCGCAAUGGGCGAAAGCCUGACGGAGCAACGCCGCGUGAGUGAUGAAGGUCUUCGGAUCGUAAAACUCUGUUAUUAGGGAAGAACAAAUGUGUAAGUAACUAUGCACGUCUUGACGGUACCUAAUCAGAAAGCCACGGCUAACUACGUG
rnacentral:rRNA from 1 species